CAGACGGUUUGUGGUCACACCCCGAACACUCUUCUUAUUCUAUGGUUCAUUCGGUGAAGUUCGCGGGCGUGCACAUGUAAUGCACAGUGUAUACCCGCAGUACUUCAGCAUUGGAGUGUCUUGCAUCCAAGCAUCUCCAAAGCAAGGUCUGUGGGCCAGCUCCAGUUAAGGGAGGCACUGCUACAAGCCCUCUGCAGGAAGCAGCAGCAUCUCCCGGUUCCAACGUGGCAUCUGUGGCAAGCGGUGCUGCCAGAAGCACAGUGCCAUCAGCACCUUUGUACCUCCGAACCAAGGCUCAUGGUUUGGAUCCAGCUAACGGUUCAAUAAUGGAUGCUCCAGCCUCUCCUGAUCCAUCAGCUGCACCUACAGAGACC
rnacentral:lncRNA from 1 species